UACGAAGGGGGCUAGCGUUGCUCGGAAUUACUGGGCGUAAAGGGCGCGUAGGCGGAUGUUUAAGUCGGGGGUGAAAGCCCGGGGCUCAACCUCGGAAUUGCCUUCGAUACUGGACAUCUUGAGUACGGGAGAGGUGAGUGGAACUCCGAAUGUAGAGGUGAAAUUCGUAGAUAUUCGGAAGAACACCAGUGGCGAAGGCGACUCACUGGCCCGUUACUGACGCUGAGGCGCGAAAGCGUGGGGAGCAAACAGG
rnacentral:rRNA from 1 species